UACGAUUAAAAGAAAUCAGUAUUCCUAUUAGAUUUUACAAUAACGUGGUUGCUGAUGGUUGUGUUGAAAGAGCACUUGUUGAGUUUCGAGAGACAGCUUCAUGUCCAUGAAGGUAGAAACCGAUCUGUUCGCGAAACGCUUUAAAAAGGUUAUGAAGUUUGGAAAAAUUAUCAUUCCAAUUGCAAACAAUUAUCGGAGACAAUUCAAUCUUAAAGGAGACAAUUAACAAGAUGGAAUUAAAAUUUCAAGCAACAAUCGAAUCGAUGACAGAUGAACAAAAGUUUCUACUCGACGAAAUUCAGCGUUUGAAAGAUAUCGUAAUCAUUGGAGAAUCAUCCGUAUAAUUAAGACAAUCAAUGGAACCAUCGACAUUAAAUCAAUUAUUUCAAACCCAAUCGAAAGAUCAAAAUUCGAGAUACUUUCGAUGCUUAAUUGUUAUGUUCAAAAAUAACAUUUUUUACUUAUUUUAAUCCUUAUAA